rnacentral:rRNA from 1 species
GGUAGUAAAAAGUCGUAACAAGGUCUCCGUUGGUGAACCAGCGGAGGGAUCAUUACCGAGUUUACAACUCCCAAACCCAAUGUGAACGUUACCAAACUGUUGCCUCGGCGGGGUCACGCCCCGGGUGCGUCGCAGCCCCGGAACCAGGCGCCCGCCGGAGGAACCAACCAAACUCUUUCUGUAGUCCCCUCGCGGACGUAUUUCUUUACAGCUCUGAGCAAAAAUUCAAAAUGAAUCAAAACUUUCAACAACGGAUCUCUUGGUUCUGGCAUCGAUGAAGAACGCAGCGAAAUGCGAUAAGUAAUGUGAAUUGCAGAAUUCAGUGAAUCAUCGAAUCUUUGAACGCACAUUGCGCCCGCCAGUAUUCUGGCGGGCAUGCCUGUCCGAGCGUCAUUUCAACCCUCGAACCCCUCCGGGGGAUCGGCGUUGGGGAUCGGGACCCCUCACACGGGUGCCGGCCCCUAAAUACAGUGGCGGUCUCGCCGCAGCCUCUCCUGCGCAGUAGUUUGCACAACUCGCACCGGGAGCGCGGCGCGUCCACGUCCGUAAAACACCCAACUUUCUGAAAUGUUGACCUCGGAUCAGGUAGGAAUACCCGCUGAACUUAAGCAUAUCAAUAAGCGGAGGAA